rnacentral:tRNA from 1 species
GAGGGUAUAGCUCAACCGGUAGAGUGCAGGCUUAAUAUGCAUGAGGUCCUGGGUUCAAUCUCCAGUACAUCCA